rnacentral:rRNA from 1 species
CACGUAGGGGGCAAGCGUUGUCCGGAUUUAUUGGGCGUAAAGAGCUCGUAGGCGGUUCGGUAAGUCGGGUGUGAAACCCCCAGGCUCAACCUGGAGACGCCACCCGAUACUGCUGUGACUCGAGUCCGGUAGGGGAGCGUGGAAUUCCUGGUGUAGCGGUGAAAUGCGCAGAUAUCAGGAGGAACACCAGCGGCGAAGGCGGCGCUCUGGGCCGGAACUGACGCUGAGGAGCGAAAGCGUGGGUAGCAAACAGG